rnacentral:pre_miRNA from 1 species
GCAAGACAGAUUCAGACUUCUUCUUUGUUGCUACAAUUUGGACUUGAAAACAGCCUUGUUAAAUCUUGGGCUCUCCAUGAAAGUUGUAGGCCUAUGUAUUAGCUUUCCAUC